GCCUGGCUGGCUCAGUUGGUAGAGCACGUGACUCUUGAUCUCAGGGUCAUGAGUUCACACCCCAUGUUGGGUG
rnacentral:tRNA from 1 species